rnacentral:rRNA from 1 species
GACGAACCGUGCGAACGUUGUUCGGAAUCACUGGGCUUAAAGGGCGCGUAGGCGGCUUCGCAAGUCCGGGGUGAAAGCCCCCAGCUCAACUGGGGAAGGGCCUCGGAUACUGCGGAGCUCGAGGGAGGUGGGGGCGGAUGGAACUUCCGGUGGAGCGGUGAAAUGCGUUGAUAUCGGAAGGAACGCCGGUGGCGAAAGCGAUCCGCUGGCCCUCUACUGACGCUGAGGCGCGAAAGCCAGGGGAGCAAACGGG